GAGUUUGAUCCUGGCUCAGGACGAACGCUGGCGGCGUGCUCAACACAUGCAAGUCGAACGGCAGCACAGCCGGGGCAACCCGGUGGGUGGCGAGUGGCGGACGGGUGAGGAAUACAUGGGAAUCUGCCCUGUCGUGGGGGAUAACGUAGGGAAACUUACGCUAAUACCGCAUACGACCGAGAGGUGAAAGCGGCGGACCGCAAGGCGUCGCGCGAUUGGAUGAGCCCAUGUCGGAUUAGCUAGUUGGCGGGGUAAAGGCCCACCAAGGCGACGAUCCGUAGCUGGUCUGAGAGGAUGAUCAGCCACACUGGAACUGAGACGCGGUCCAGACUCCUACGGGAGGCAGCAGUGGGGAAUAUUGGACAAUGGGCGCAAGCCUGAUCCAGCCAUGCCGCGUGAGUGAAGAAGGCC
rnacentral:rRNA from 1 species